rnacentral:rRNA from 1 species
UUCCCCUAAAAAAGGAAAACCGGGCGGCGGGCUAAUACAUGCAAGUCGAGCGAACAGACGAGGAGCUUGCUCCUCUAACGUUAGCGGCGGACGGGUGAGUAACACGUGGAUAACCUACCUUAAGACUGGGAUAACUUCGGGAAACCGGAGCUAAUACCGGAUAAAUAUUGAACCGCAUGGUUCAAUAGUGAAAGACGGUUUUGCUGUCACUUAUAGAUGGAUCCGCGCCCCAUUAGCUAGUUGGUAAGGUAACGGCUUACCAAGGCAACGAUGCGUAGCCGACCUGAGAGGGUGAUCGGCCACACUGGAACUGAGACACGGUCCAGACUCCUACGGGAGGCAGCAGUAGGGAAUCUUCCGCAAUGGGCGAAAGCCUGACGGAGCAACGCCGCGUGAGUGAUGAAGGUCUUCGGAUCGUAAAACUCUGUUAUUAGGGAAGAACAAAUGUGUAAGUAACUAUGCACGUCUUGACGGUACCUAAUCAGAAAGCCACGGCUAACUACGUGCCAGCAGCCGCGGUAAUACGUAGGUGGCAAGCGUUAUCCGGAAUUAUUGGGCGUAAAGCGCGCGUAGGCGGUUUUUUAAGUCUGAUGUGAAAGCCCACGGCUCAACCGUGGAGGGUCAUUGGAAACUGGAAAACUUGAGUGCAGAAGAGGAAAGUGGAAUUCCAUGUGUAGCGGUGAAAUGCGCAGAGAUAUGGAGGAACACCAGUGGCGAAGGCGACUUUCUGGUCUGUAACUGACGCUGAUGUGCGAAAGCGUGGGGAUCAAACAGGAUUAGAUACCCUGGUAGUCCACGCCGUAAACGAUGAGUGCUAAGUGUUAGGGGGUUUCCGCCCCUUAGUGCUGCAGCUAACGCAUUAAGCACUCCGCCUGGGGAGUACGACCGCAAGGUUGAAACUCAAAGGAAUUGACGGGGACCCGCACAAGCGGUGGAGCAUGUGGUUUAAUUCGAAGCAACGCGAAGAACCUUACCAAAUCUUGACAUCCUCUGACCCCUCUAGAGAUAGAGUUUUCCCCUUCGGGGGACAGAGUGACAGGUGGUGCAUGGUUGUCGUCAGCUCGUGUCGUGAGAUGUUGGGUUAAGUCCCGCAACGAGCGCAACCCUUAAGCUUAGUUGCCAUCAUUAAGUUGGGCACUCUAAGUUGACUGCCGGUGACAAACCGGAGGAAGGUGGGGAUGACGUCAAAUCAUCAUGCCCCUUAUGAUUUGGGCUACACCGUGCUAAAUGGACAUACAAAGGGCAGCGAAACCGCGAGGUCAGCAAAUCCCAUAAAGUUGUUCCAGUUCGGAUUGAACCCGCAACUCACUAUAAAGCUGGAACCCCUGUAAUCGAAAACCACUGUUCCGACAAAUUCCCCCGCGUUUUUUUUACACACGAAAAGAGGG